UUUUUUUUUGGUUUGAGAUUGAACAAUGGGAUCAUCUUCGGGGCAGGUUAGUGGCUUUGAUCUCUCAUUCAAGAUCUUGUUGAUUGGUGAUUCUGGGGUUGGUAAAAGCAGUCUUCUUGUCAGUUUUAUUUCCAGUUCUGUAGAGGAUCUUUCUCCCACCAUUGGUAUUAAAAUUCUUAUCCAUUUCUGUGAAUCUCUUUCUCGUUGUCGUUUUACUGUUCCAUGGAUUCUUAGUUUGCAAGAUUGGUGUAAUGCUUUUGGAUCUCUUUCCAGCUGAAAAGCAUCUGGCUGGUUGUAAAACACGACACUACUUAUGGGUUUUUGAUGGGUUUAGCUUAUUUUAGUUGCUCUUCGUUUUUUAUUCGUGAUGAAAUGUGUAUCAGUGAGCAAAUGUCUUUCUGUGAACUUUGUAUCUACAUAAAAAGGAAAAAUUAAAGGAGAGUUGUGUGAUUGCUUCAUUUAAUUUGGAUUGAUUAAUACAGAUGAAAUGUUCACUUCUCUAAUAUGAUUAUACAUUGUGUUAAGGUGUUGAUUUUAAGAUCAAGC
rnacentral:misc_RNA from 1 species